rnacentral:rRNA from 1 species
UUAGGCGGCCACAGCGGCGGGGUUGCCUCCCGUACCCAUCCCGAACACGGAAGAUAAGCCCGCCAGCGUUCCGGGGA